rnacentral:lncRNA from 1 species
CUAAGCACGGUUGAGCCUAGUUAUGUGUUUGGAUGUGACAUUACCUGGGACAUCUCAGCUGUUUUACUAAAUUCUGCUUGGUGCUUGAAAUUGCAGGCUCCAUCCUUUGCUGUUCUGCUGUCAACAGUGCACAAGUAUUCACUUCUACACUGCACGCCCAGCAAAGCAAUUCAUGGCAUGUUCAGAAGGGUCUUGAGCCACAUUUUUCAACCCCAAGAAGCCUCAUCCUUCACCAGUUCUUACAGAAGGUCUAUAGAGAAUAGAGGACAAGGACACAAGAUCAAAUGCACAUGUGUACCACCCACAAGACCUCCACAGCAUCCAACUCCAAAACCUAGGCAGUUCUCAGAAAAGUCCAAGGGUCUGCAAUGGGCAGAGAUGCAAGUGAACAUCCCAGAAGAAAUACACUGCUAUGGGGUGCUGCAGAUGGAACUCCAUUCUAACUCAACCAACUUGAAGGAACCUGUUCACUGUCAUCUGCCACUCUCAGGAUGGGUGGCUGCGAUGGGAAAACCUGAAAGAUGAGACAUGCGCCU